UAUAAGUGUCCCUUAGACUUGAGAUCGCCUCAGUGACUUGCAAGCAACUCACUGUGCUUUGGUACUGGACUAAUUGAUUUCUAAUUCAGGGAUGGAAGGCUUCUGGGCACAGUCAAGUACUUGCGAAGUCAGAGUGUGAUCGAGAUGGGAUUGACCACUCCAAGAGUUGGAGAAGAAUGAGUCGCUGUAUUUCAAUUUAGUAAAACCUUGGCCAGGGUAAUCCAUCAGAUGGAUUUGAUAUUUUGAAAUACAAUGUAGACAACCUGAUCAGAGUUGACAGUUGAACUCUGGGAUGUCCUAUGAUCAUUUUGGUC
rnacentral:lncRNA from 1 species